AUGGAUAUUCAGGUACAGCAAGAGCAAAAGGAUGGAGGUUCUGGAGGUGGGAAAGCUGGUAAGAAUAAGAAAAAGAACAAGAGAAGGAAGGAUCCUAAGAACCUCCCAAAGGCUGACCCUGAACAUGUAAAUAAGGAGGAAGGUGCCUGUGUGAUUCCAUGCAAUGCGGGUGCUGUUAAUAAUAUUUCUAGAGCUCCUUGCCCAAGUUCAGAUGUGCAAGAUGAUAAUGAGUACCCCUUUGAAGAUGGUGAUCUUGAUGAUGGACUUGAUCCUGCAAUGCAGGAAGAGCUUGAUAGGGAAGUUGAAGAUUUCGCUAGGAGGCUCAAUUCGGUUUGGCCUGAAAGAAUGCAUUUGGGUCAAGAGAGAAGAAUUGAGUCGCAGCUGAUUGGUGGUAAUGGUUCUCUGCAGAGAUUUUCUGGGUUCAAUCACAGGUGA
rnacentral:rRNA from 1 species